UCGAGAAUUUUUCUCAAUGGGCGAAAGCCUGAAGGAGCGACGCCGCGUGGGGGAUGAAGGUCUUCGGAUUGUAAACCCCUGUCACUUGGGGACAAAUUGGAUCACCUAACACGCGAUCCAUUGAUUGUACCAGGAGAGGAAGACGUGGCUAACUCUGUGCCAGCAGCCGCGGUAAUACAGAGACGUCGAGCGUUGUUCGGAUUCAUUGGGCGUAAAGGGUGCGUAGGCGGUGAGGUAAGUCGGAUGUGAAAUCCCAAAGCUUAACUUUGGAAGUGCAUCCGAAACUGCCUUGCUAGAGGACUGGAAGGGAGACUGGAAUUCUCGGUGUAGCGGUGAAAUGCGUAGAUAUCGAGAGGAACACCUGUGGCGAAGGCGGGUCUCUGGACAGUUCCUGACGCUGAGGCACGAAAGCCAGGGGAGCAAACGGGAUUAGAUACCCCGGUAGUCCUGGCCCUAAACGGUGCUCACUGGGUGUGGGAGGGAAUCGACCCUUCCGUGCCGAAGCUAACG
rnacentral:rRNA from 1 species